UACGAAGGGGGCUAGCGUUGCUCGGAAUCACUGGGCGUAAAGCGCACGUAGGCGGCUCUUUAAGUCAGGGGUGAAAUCCCAAGGCUCAACCUUGGAACUGCCUUUGAUACUGGGGAUCUCGAGUCCGGAAGAGGUGAGUGGAACUGCGAGUGUAGAGGUGAAAUUCGUAGAUAUUCGCAAGAACACCAGUGGCGAAGGCGGCUCACUGGUCCGGUACUGACGCUGAGGUGCGAAAGCGUGGGGAGCAAACAGG
rnacentral:rRNA from 1 species